rnacentral:rRNA from 1 species
AUUGAACGCUGGCGGCAUGCCUUACACAUGCAAGUCGAACGGUAACAGGUCUUCGGAUGCUGACGAGUGGCGAACGGGUGAGUAAUACAUCGGAACGUGCCCGAUCGUGGGGGAUAACGAGGCGAAAGCUUUGCUAAUACCGCAUACGAUCUACGGCUGACAGCGGGGGAUCUUCGGACCUCGCGCGGACGGAGCGGCCGAUGGCAGAUUAGGUAGUUGGUGGGAUAAAAGCUUACCAAGCCGACGAUCUGUAGCUGGUCUGAGAGGAUGAUCAGCCACACUGGGACUGAGACACGGCCCAGACUCCUACGGGAGGCAGCAGUGGGGAAUUUUGGACAAUGGGCGAAAGCCUGAUCCAGCCAUGCCGCGUGCAGGAUGAAGGCCUUCGGGUUGUAAACUGCUUUUGUACGGAACGAAAAGCCUCUUUCUAAUAAAGAGGGGUCAUGACGGUACCGUAAGAAUAAGCACCGGCUAACUACGUG